rnacentral:rRNA from 1 species
CCUACGGGUGGCUGCAGUGGGGAAUUGUUCGCAAUGGGCGCAAGCCUGACGACGCAACGCCGCGUGGAGGAUGAAGGUCUUCGGAUUGUAAACUCCUGUUGACCGGAAAGAAUGGGUCCCGAUUGAAUACGUCGGGGCAAUGACGGUACCGGUUGAGGAAGCCACGGCUAACUCUGUGCCAGCAGCCGCGGUAAUACAGAGGUGGCAAGCGUUGUUCGGAAUUACUGGGCGUAAAGGGCGCGUAGGCGGCCGCCUCAGUCAGACGUGAAAUCCCC